ACAUUAAAAUUUACAUUAUAAACACAAGUCCAAUAAUCUUUUAUGGACGAAUAUGUUUUAAGUCUGUGUAAGGGAUUGUGUCAAAAGCCACGCCGUAUUUUCAAAUUUCGCCUACCGUUGAAACUAUAAAUUUGUAAAGCGGCACGAAGCAGUCAUAAGUUUUCAAUAACUGCUGAAGUGAGCGCGGGAUGUUUUCAGCAUUCUUAUAAAUAUCCAAGAGGCAGUCUAUCAAUGUAAAUGUUUGAAGAUUAUAUUGGGGACAGUCAAAGAAAAUGUGAUCAAGAGUUUGGAUGGAUAAAUUACAGAAUUGAAAAGUUGGAGAAUCUAACACACCGACCCUAAAUAAAUGAGCACCACUACGAGAAUGUCCCAGACGUAACCGACAAAUUGUGGUGUAAAAUUUUCUGUAUUACUGUGUGGAGGAAUGUUGGAUGGAAUUGAAGAAGAUUCAGUUUCCGACACUACCAUGGAAAAUUUUGUGAUUGUAGGCAAGUGAUAGCUGCCCAAAGAGUCCUGAUGAACUUGCCAUUCACAGCACAGGAAUAAUGAAGAUGAUACUAUUGUUAGAUCUAGUCCAUUUGGUCUCCAAGAAUUAGUACCCACUGUAGUUGGUUGAUCAUUAUUUAAGAGCAUUAAGUCAUUAUCGUCCAUUACAUCCAUGAUGUCUCUACCUCUAGAAUUGGUUCUAUUACAACCCCCAAUGGUAUGGUGAGCAUUAAAAUCACCAGCAAUUAUUAGUGGUUUUGGGAUACUCUGCAACAGUCUAUUAAAUUUAGAUUUGUCAAAGUUAGGUACACUGUUGCCAGGACUAUUAAAGCUAACAAUUGAGAUGUCUUUUUGUUUGUAUUUAACUAACAAAAAUUGCUACACCAUUGUGAUCAUUACCACAAUCAUUUCUUAGUAUUGUAUAACCUCUGAUAGAAAACUGUAUAUUUGGUUUAAGACAAGUUUCUGAUAUAAGUGCUAUGUGUAUGUCCUGCUCAUAAAGUAGGUUUUGAAGCUCAAGUCUGUUACUCAACAGACUUUGAGCAUUCCACUGUACUAUGUUAAGCUUGUGACAGUUGAAUGUGAUAUUUUAUUUUUAAUUUGUAUGGUAUCUUUAAUAGCUGAACUAAUUGCGUGUGAGCUAAUGCUUUGAUUCUGUGUUUUAUUUAGUGUAAUGACUUUUAUUAUUGAUUCUGUGAUUAGGUUCAUUGCUGCUGGAUUGGAUAAAAUUAAAUUAAUGAUGUCUUGUGUGUUCUCUGUCUUAUUGAGUGAUGGAAAGUUUGUUGGAUGUUUAAAUAAAUCUGAUAAUGGUGUUUUA